rnacentral:rRNA from 1 species
GAAAUUCGAGGCGCGCUUGAUCUAGGAGAGGACCCGAUGGUACUUUCUCCUAAUUCCCAUGUUGCCCCGACACCAACGAAGCUAAAGCCUCAACCACGACGAGUACUGAAUCCAAAUAAUCCUGAAUCGCCUGCCAGGAAUACGCGUCGCUCUA